rnacentral:rRNA from 1 species
UACGUAGGAACCAAGCGUUGUCCGGAUUUACUGGGCGUAAAGCGCGUGUAGGUGGCUGGUUAAGUCUCAUGUGAAAUCUCCCGGCUCAACUGGGAGGGGUCAUGGGAAACUGGCCGGCUCGAGGGGAGUAGAGGGAAGCGGAAUUCCUGGAGUAGUGGUGAAAUACGUAGAUACCAGGAGGAACACCUGUGGCGAAAGCGGCUUCCUAGGCUUCUCCUGACACUGAGACGCGAAAGCGUGGGGAGCGAACCGG